rnacentral:rRNA from 1 species
GUGCCAGCAGCCGCGGUAAUACGAAGGGGGCUAGCGUUGUUCGGAAUUACUGGGCGUAAAGCGCACGUAGGCGGACUGGUCAGUUAGGGGUGAAAUCCCGGGGCUCAACCCCGGAACUGCCUUUAAUACUGCCAGUCUUGAGUUCGAGAGAGGUGAGUGGAAUUCCGAGUGUAGAGGUGAAAUUCGUAGAUAUUCGGAGGAACACCAGUGGCGAAGGCGGCUCACUGGCUCGAUACUGACGCUGAGGUGCGAAAGCGUGGGGAGCAAACAGGAUUAGAUACCCCGGUAGUCC